GGAAGCCAAUCGAGCAGACUUCGGUAUCCAAUCCAAUUACUCGCAGGCGCUUUGUACUCACAAAAGGAAAAACAAGACUUUCUGCGGUGUGCCGUUACCUUGGCACCUCCACUCAUGCUCCCAGUGCUGCCUCCUGUGUUGCCACUGACAGCUCCCGUGAACCUGGCCUCGAGAAGCUCCUGUCUCCGGGGG